rnacentral:rRNA from 1 species
AAUAGCGUAUAUUAACGUUGUUGCAGUUAAAAAGCUCGUAGUUGGAUUUCUGGAGGGAGCGUCGGCCCGUAUUUACGAGUGCGUGACGUCUCUGUCCAUCCUUGCGGGAAGGCACGGCAUUGAUUUGUUGUGUCGGAUCGCAUCAUUUACUGUGAAAAAAUUAGAGUGUUCAAAGCAGGCUUUCGCUUGAAUACAUUAGCAUGGAAUAAUAAGAUAGGACUUUGGUGCUAUUUUAUUGGUUGAGCCUAAAGUAAUGAUUAAUAGGGAUAGUUGGGGGCACCUGUAUUGCGUUGUCAGAGGUGAAAUUCUUGGAUUUACGCAAGACAAACAGCUGCGAANGNGUCUGUNAAGGAUGUUUNCAUUA